AGGCCCUGUUCGUUUCUCCAUUUUGCAUAUCCAUCCAGAUGAUCCAUUCAAAUAAUCUAUCUGGAUGAUUCAUCUCUUCUCCAAAUGAUGAAACGAACAAGAUAUGAAAUGAUUUAUCUGGAUGAUUUAUCUGAAUGGAGAUGUGUUUGUUUCUCCAUUUUGCAUAUCCAUCCAGAUAGAUUUAACUUUAAAAAUGACUAAACUACCCAUAUUUUGAUUUAAUAAUUUUCUCACAUUAAUAUUAAUCAUAGUAUUUUUAAAUAUUGAUAAAAAAUAUAUAUACACUUAGAAAGUUUACAAAUUAAUAUUUUUGACAUUUCUAGAUAUUUAUUUUCAUGAAAUCUUUUUUUUUUUUUUAAAUUAAAACAAUUUAUAUCAAUUAGGAAUAUAACAACAUCAAUAAUUCAAU
rnacentral:lncRNA from 1 species